GCUGGGCGUAGUGGUGGAUGCCUGUAAUCCCAGCUACUCGGGAGGCUGAGACAGGAGAAUUGCUUGAACCCAGGAGGCAGAGGUUGCAGUGAGCUGAGAUCAUGCCACUGGACUCCAGCCUGGGCGACAGAGCGAGACUCUGUCUCAA
rnacentral:SRP_RNA from 1 species